AUUGAACGCUAGCGGCAGGCCUAAUACAUGCAAGUCGAACGGUAAGUUGAAUAGCAAUAUUUGACCUAGAGUGACGUACGGGUGCGUAACACGUAUGCAACCUACCUUGUACAGGAGGAUAGCUCGGGGAAACUCGAAUUAACCCUCCAUAAGAUCGUGAAGUGGCAUCACUUAGCGAUAAAAACUCCGGUGGUACAAGAUGGGCAUGCGUCUGAUUAGUUAGUUGGCGGGGUAACGGCCCACCAAGACGAUGAUCAGUAGGGGAACUGAGAGGUUGAUCCCCCACACUGGCACUGAGUUACGGGCCAGACUCCUACGGGAGGCAGCAGUAGGGAAUAUUGGUCAAUGGAUGCAAGUCUGAACCAGCCAUGCCGCGUGCAGGAAGAAGGCCUUCUGGGUUGUAAACUGCUUUUGCCAGGGGAUAAAAAGACCUUGCGAGGUUAAUUGAAGGUACCUGGUGAAUAAGCCACGGCUAACUACGUGCCAGCCGCCGCCGUAAGAC
rnacentral:rRNA from 1 species